rnacentral:lncRNA from 1 species
GCAGAGCGUGCCUAGUGCCCGGCCUGUGCGACUCCAAGCUCUGUGCCCCUCCUCCCGCUCCAGAGAAGCGAGAGCAAGGCGGCGUGGAGCCUGCGGAGCCCAGGACGGAGGUGCAAGCUGCUAGCCUCUGUCUUCUCUCUAUCAAAUGGAAAAGACGGGCUUCCCUGGAGGCUCAGGCGGUCAAGAAUCCACCUGCAAUAUGGGAGACCUGGGUUGGAUCCCUGGGUUGGGAGGAUCCCCUGGAGGAGGGCAUGGCAACCUGCUCCAGAAUUCUUGCCUGGGAGAAUCCCCAUGGACAGAGGAGCCUGGUGGCCUGCAGUCCAUGGGAUCGCAGAGUUGGACAUGACUGAGCACAGCACAAAUGGAGAAGACAAUCAACCCCUCCACAUCUGUCUGUCCUGCUGGGCUGCUGUUAGGGGUUAUGCGAACUUUCACAGCAGUUUCAAAUCACGGGCUCUGAGGUCUGACAGAUCUCAGUUGGGGUCCUGAGUCCAUCACUCCCUAGCUCUGGGUCCUGGGGCAAGGUCAGUAACUUCUCGGCACCUCAGUUUUGCAUCUGCAAAAUGGGGAUAAUAUUAAUACCUGCCCCACCUGACUGUCACAACAACCAGAUGAGAUUGUGGGUGAAAGUGUGGCACGGUGCACAGCCCAAGUGAAGUCCUCAGAAGGCUUUGAUAUUGAUGGCACAGCCCUUCCAGCUCAAGAUCAGGAAAAAAAGAUUAAAAUGGUAAAUUAUGCUCAUAGUGUUUUCACAUUCAUCAAAUUUAGUGGAGCCUCACAAAUGGGCAAGGUAGGUCAGAGUUCAUCCUCUUGAGUCUAGUAAAUUCAACUGCCCACCUUCCCUGGAACGAUGCUGAGUCUGCCAGGGGUUGCUGGCAAAAGGGCAAGGCAUCCUACGCUACUGCUACAGUGGAAAUCAGGUUCUCCAGCUUCACCUGGGCCAGCCCUGGCCUGGCCCUUUCAGCAAAUGACUUUGAAGGUUGCCUCAUGGAAAGACUGUCCAAAAGCCACUCACUUAACCAUACACCCCAAACCUGCCAACUUCUCUGCAUCCCCAACUGUUCCCUCCUUCCCUUGGUUCGGCAUCCCGGUCCGGAUCCCUGUGUUCUAACCACAUGCGGUGCUUUAAAACGCAUUCCCCAUUCCUCUCCAGCAUCUACACGCUCUCCUCAAUUGAACAGAACUUUUAGAAAACGCUGUCUACACGGGCGCUCCGCUUCCUCACUCCAGUCGAGGCUGCCCCAGGCCCGCGGCCUGCCCCAGUUUCUAUCCACCUGGCCCUGUGGCCAGCCCACGCCACGCCUCCGGCGCCUCCUAAUUCCCUUCCUUGCUGGGGCUUCCCGCACCCCUUCCGUGCUCCCCAGCCCCACCCUCGCACUUCUCCUUGACCCCUUUCUCUUCCGAGGAUUCUCGGCGCUGCGCACUCGCGUCUCCCCAGCUUUCCCUUCGUCUCUCGGGGCGCAGCUGGACCAGACCACUUCCCCCCGGGAGUCCCCGUGGGCUGCCCCAGGGGUGGGUGGACUCCUGGCUCUGCGAUCCCACUGCACCCCGCCCCCGGAGCCCAGUCCCCCGCCGCCUGGCUCCGCGAGGCCAGAGGGCCUGUUCGAGCUCCCCAGCCCGGUCCGCGCGUCUCCC